CGCGGCCCUGGAGAUGGCAUGCCUCCAUGAACCGCCGCGUCAGCGGCUGAUGAUGCCUGCGCUGGG
rnacentral:ncRNA from 2 species